AUUGAACGCUGGCGGAAUGCUUUACACAUGCAAGUCGAACGGCAGCACGGACUUCGGUCUGGUGGCGAGUGGCGAACGGGUGAGUAAUGUAUCGGAACGUGCCCAGUCGUGGGGGAUAACGUAGUGAAAAUUACGCUAAUACCGCAUACGAUCUAUGGAUGAAAGCGGGGGAUCGCAAGACCUCGCGCGAUUGGAGCGGCCGAUAUCAGAUUAGGUAGUCGGUGGGGUAAAGGCCCACCAAGCCAACGAUCUGUAGCUGGUCUGAGAGGACGACCAGCCACACGGGAACGGAGGCACGGUCCAGACGCCUACGGGAGGCAGCAGUGGGGAAUUUUGGACAAUGGGCGAAAGCCUGAUCCAGCCAUUCCGCGUGCAGGAUGAAGGCCCUCGGGUUGUAAACUGCUUUUGUACAGAACGAAAAGGUUUCUACUAAUACUAGGAGCUCAUGACGGUACUGUAAGAAUAAGCACCGGCUAACUACGUGCCAGCCGCCGCCGUAA
rnacentral:rRNA from 1 species